rnacentral:misc_RNA from 1 species
AACGCACCUUGCGCUCCCUGGUAUUCCGGGGAGCACGCCCGUUUGAGUGUCAUGGUAUUCUCAACCUUCAUCACUUUUGUGACUGAAGGCUUGGAUCUUGGAGGUCGUGCGGGCUCUCACGAGUCGGCUCCUCUGAAAUGCAUUAGCGUGAACGUUUACGGAUCGCUAUCAGUGUGAUAAUUAUCUGCGCUGUUAGUGUUGAAGUAUUGCUUAGUGUCGCGCUUCUAACCGUCCUUCAGUUGGACAACUUACCUGACAUCUGGCCUCAAAUCGGGCGGGACUACCCGCUGAACUUAA